UACGUAGGGUGCGAGCGUUGUCCGGAAUUAUUGGGCGUAAAGAGCUCGUAGGCGGUGUGUUACGUCAGCCGUGAAAACCUGCAGCUUAACUGUGGGCGUGCGGUCGAUACGGGCAUUACUGGAGUUCGGCAGGGGAGACUGGAAUUCCUGGUGUAGCGGUGAAAUGCGCAGAUAUCAGGAGGAACACCGGUGGCGAAGGCGGGUCUCUGGGCCGAUACUGACGCUGAGGAGCGAAAGCGUGGGGAGCAAACAGG
rnacentral:rRNA from 1 species